rnacentral:snRNA from 1 species
GUGCUCGCUUUGGCAGCACAUAUACUAAAAUUGGAACGAUACAGAGAAGAUUAGUAUGGCCACUGAGCAAGGAUGACAUGCAAAUUCAUGAAGCGUUCCAUAUUUAA